AUGUCCUCUGUGACUUCUCAUGGGCUGAAUUCUUCCUCUUGUGCUGCUGGGAUAUUGGCCUCAAUUGCAAAAAUCUGAUGUGUUGCCCCACUGCUGGUCGGUUGGCCAGAGUUUCUCAUCAAAGAGUACAUGCUGUUUGCUCCCCAGAUGGACAGGCUGGAUGAGUAACAAAUCCACAGAGCCUGGGACACAAGGGAUGCUCCUACUUUAUCAAUCAAAAGGCAUGGAGAUUUAGGAGCCUUUAUUGCAUGUGUCUUAUUAGAAAGUCUGAGCUAUGAAGUGAUUCCAAAUAUUAGCUCUAAACCAUUUCCUUGGGGACAACAACCUUCCUCCUUCCUCCUAUAGUCUAGAUGUUGAAGACCUGCAUUUUCCUCUUCCUGUGCUUUUGAAAUGCUUUGAGCAUUGAGAAACAUCUGAAAGGUACACUAAAACGCUAGUGGGCAUAUUUAAAAGUGAUAUGUCUAAUUUCUAAGGAAAGCCUUGAGGCGAAAUGCUUCUCUCUUACUCUGAUGUAAUCUUGCCGACUCCUAAAUCAUUAUACUUUUAAACUAAGUAUGUAAACAUCAGACUCCCAACUCAUUAGUGGAAGGCUUGGAGGGCUGCUGUCAGGGGUGCCAUGGUAACUGGGGCACUCUGCUUCCCUCCAUCACUUGCAUGCGAAGUGCGGGGCUGGAGCA